rnacentral:rRNA from 1 species
CCUACGGGGGGCGGCAGUGGGGAAUCUUGCGCAAUGGGGGCAACCCUGACGCAGCAACGCCGCGUGAGUGAUGAAGGUUUUCGGAUCGUAAAGCUCUGUCAAGAGGGAAGAAACCCUGGAAGGCCAAUACCCUUUCAGAUUGACGGUACCUCUAAAGGAAGCACCGGCUAACUCCGUGCCAGCAGCCGCGGUAAUACGGAGGGUGCGAGCGUUGUUCGGAAUUAUUGGGCGUAAAGCGCGUGCAGGCGGUUUGUUAAGUCUGAUGUGAAAGCCCCGGGCUCAACCUGGGAAGUGCAUUGGAAACUGGCUGACUUGAGUACGGGAGAGGGAAGUGGAAUUUCGAGUGUAGGGGUGAAAUCCGUAGAUAUUCGAAGGAACACCAGUGGCGAAGGCGGCUUCCUGGACCGAUACUGACGCUGAGACGCGAAAGCGUGGGGAGCGAACAGGAUUAGAUACCCUGGUAGUCCACGCCGUAAACGCUGGGUACUAGGUGUUGCGGGUAUUGACCCCUGCAGUGCCGAAGCUAACGCAUUAAGUACCCCGCCUGGGGAGUACGGUCGCAAGACUAAAACUCAAAGGAAUUGACGG